AUUUCACAUAUGAAUGAUAUCGUAUGAUAUUUUUCUCCCUCUGACUUACUUCACGUAGUGUGAUCAUCUCUAGGUCCCUUCAUGUUGCUACAAAUGGCAUUAUUUACGGUUAAGUAAUAUUCUUAUUUACGGUUGAGUAAUAUUCCAUUGUAUAUGUGUACCACAUCUCUCUAUUCACUCCUAAAUGGACAUUUAGAUCGCUUCCAUGUCUUGGCUAUUGUAAAUAGUAGCACCUAGUAAUUGUCCUGCAAGUCAUCAUAUGGACAACAUGUGGACAAUGUUCCUACAUAUAGAAGAAAUAGAUCUUGGAAUAAAGAGGCAAACAGUGCAUUGAUGUCCUACCACGAAACUUUCCGUGAAAACAACCUCUGAAUGACCUCUGCCUGGGGCAUUCCGACAGCCCCAAGGAUCAGAGUAGUGUGCCCACUGCUCAGACUUACGGGCGGCCCCUUAUUUCCUUGCCUUUUGCCUGAGUCCUGACCCGGUCCACAAGACUAACCAGAUGUCCAUCCACACCUCCCUCGGCCUUCUUCCUGCUGAUGCCCCAACCUAUCCAUCUGCUCCAGGACUCCCCACCAGCAGUAGCACUUGGGGAAUAGGAACCCAAUGGAAGCAGAAAGAGAGAGACCGUUUCACAGGUGUGGCAAAAGAAAGCAUUGAAAGUUGAGCCCUCCUGUGAAAAAUGAUCAAAUUGUUUUACAAGAGUCUCAUUUAAUAAUCUAAAACACCCCCGAUGAGACACCUGAGUGGCUGAACAUUCUGGAAGACUGCUGGUUGAACAUGGCACCCCCUUGAGUCAGGGGAAGGAGAUCCUUCUUUUCCCAUCCUCUUGGGGAACCCGGUGUGCUUUCCUCUAAUUAACAAACCCUGAGUUUCAGGACACCUAGAAAGUUACUCUGUCUCUCAUUCCCUUGGGGACAGAGUUUGCACAGGCCUCCUGCUAGCGCCCUUCUUGGGUAGAGGAUGAUGGAAAGAAUCCCUCCUCUUUUCUGGCACCUUGUAAUUUGGUGUCUGCUGUGUGUGGAGGAGGCAGACAAUAGACAUUCCCCAGCAUGGUGGCUGGUCUGCUUGUUCACAAAACUGGGGUCAGCUGGGGCUUUGUCAACUUUCAGCUUUCUGUUGAGCAGUGUAAAAGGAAAAAAAAAAAGAAAGAAAGAAAAGGGAAAAAAGCCUUUAUUCAGAAUUCCCAGGCUCACAAUCAAUAGAGUUGUUAAUUCAAGACCAAACUGCUUAAUCGACUCAUGGCACCAUUAUUAAUUCAUAUAUUAGGCAGUCUGCAUCCAUUUCUGGAUUAUUCUCAUUUGAUGAUGAGAAGCGAAAUGUUUUCUUCUCUAUGCUCUACCACUAAAUAAGCCUUUUCCAAGUGUCAAUUACUGAGCCCAGGUGAAACAAAGACAGCUCUUUGGAAGCCAUCAGCUACUGCCUCCCUGGUAAGUGCUGAGGAGCUGGGUUGGGGGUUACCGUGUGAGAAGUGGCCAUCCAACACAUUAGCUAUCUCUUACAGUAAACAAGGAAUUCAUAUCUGAACAGUAAAGAAAGCAGGAUUGGCCCCAGAUAGCUAGAUGCAUGGGAAAGAAAUGAUUUCAGCAAGCCAGAUGCUUGCAUCUUCCCAUAUAUAGGAGACUGCUAAAUCUCUUCAUGUGAGAGAUUUCAUUUUCUCUUAAUUAAUAGUAAUUUUUCAUAUUCAGAUUACCUAUCCAUUGCUGCACACUUGUAUAUAGCCUGGCUCCUCCCCUGCCUCCUGGGCGUCAGCUCUCUCUGGGUCACCUGAGAUGCUGUCUCCCAGGCUCGAGUCCUAACAUUCCCACCAAAUAAAACCUAACUGUCAACUUUUAGGUUGUGAGUAUAUAUUUUUUUAGUCAACAAUGAUUAAAUGGUAUUGCCUCUAAGGGAGACAAAAACAACUGAAUUGUCCCUGCAUUCCUGUGGCCUUCUUCAUUGCCUAAGAAGUCCUUCUACAGGAUAACUAACUCACCCAAGACCAGAUUGGCUGCGUGUGACAUGGACAGGUCUUUGCUCUGCCCACCUGCCAAUCAUUCUGGGAAAUAUACGUGCAGUGAUAUCUUUAUAGCAUCAAAGAAAGCUCCUGCAGAGAGAACAAGACCCUAUCUUAUUCACUCUUCCUCCCUUAGACUGCUGAGCAAAGUCUGAGGAGCUACUGGAUAACAUUAAUAGUUUUCUUAGCCAAUGUUAUCAAUAUCAUAAAAAUAUCUAUUAUGACUGACAUGCUUUAAUAGUUUUUUUCAGAUUUACCUUAAGGAACAUUUCUCUGGUCCAGAAAGCCUUCAAUUAUCAGUGAAAUGAAAAUGUCAUAUCAGCAUAGAAAUUAAUUUGACUUUAUAGGCUCUUAUUGCAAAUGAUGUGCGAACACCCUUAGGAGAGGAAUUCUGGUCAGUUGAUAUGCUGGCUAACAGGGAAUCGCCAAAUGUCAUGUCUGGCAAUGCUGAUGUGCGAUUUCGGCAAUUGGGUCACUAGAAAAUAUACUUGACACUAAAAUCGCACUGAAUAUAACCCAGCUGUUGCUGGUUCAGAAGCACCUCGGGGUCUUGUGGUGUCUCACUGACGACCACUUGACUCUGCUGGGUGUCAGGGAAUCAUGAUGGAUUGUUUGGUCAGAGAGAGAUGGCAUGAAUUCACAGGGACCACGAUGGAGACUCUCAUUGGCAGUGGGACAGGGGAUAAUCAUACAUCCACCAGCAGUUGUGAAAUAAGCCCCACAUGAAGUAAAAACAAAACAGGAAAAAAGGUGAAACACUGUACCCUAACAGAAAAAGACCUUCUUCCUUUGGAGACCAGAGCAUCAAGUUAUCCCAGAGGUCACACAAGCCUUUGGCUUUGUAAGCAGGGCUGUGGCUCCCAUAGCCCCUGCCUACUUUCCCGGGCUGCAGGGUGGAGGGGCUGAACUGGCAGGGAAAGGACACUCCCAGCCUCGCACGUCUGAGAUUACCUGCUCUGAUUACGUGUCCUGGGGCUGAUGCAACCCCAGUCAUCUGUGCUUCCUUGGGCCCCUUUGAUGUGAUCGCCGUUGUCAACCCUUUUUGGUUUUUUAGCUCUUGUUCACCCAUGCUAGGGGGCUUCCCUGGUGGUUUAGACAGUAAAAAAUCUGCCUGCAAUGCAGGAGACUCGGUAUGGAUCCCUGGAUCAGGAAGAUAUCUGGGAGAAGGGAAGAGCUACCUACUCCAGUAUUCUUGCCUGGAGUAUUCCAUGGACAGAGGAGCCUGGAGGGCUACAGUCCAUGCGGUUGCAGAGAGUCAGACAUGACUGAGCCACUAACAACACCAUGCUAGACACUCUGCCCCUCCCUGCCAAAACUUGUUUCAGGAAAGAACUUAAUGUAUUGCAAUAACAUCCUUUGCCGUUUGGAGAAACACGCGUGAGUCUGCGUUUUCUUGUUUUCCGUGGUAUUUUACAGUUAUUUGUUUUAUGGCUGCCCUGGCUCUUAGUCGCAGCCUGUGGGAUAUUUUGUUGUAGCAUGUGAACUCUUAGAUGCAGGCUAUGGGAUCUAAUUCCCCAACCAGGGAUCAAACUCAGGCCCCCUGCACUGGGUACUUGGAGUCUUAGCCACUGGACCACCAGUGAAGUCCCCGUAUUUGCAUUUCAAUCCUCACCCUGAAUUUUUUUCUAAGAGAGCUAUGUCUUUUUUUUUUAGAAUUAUCAGAAACUGAUCGGGAAAAGUGGUCUCUUUUUCCUCAUCUAGGAUUAUCGCUAAGUCAAGUCCGACUCUUUGCAACUCCAUGGACUGCAGCGUGCCAGGCUUCCCUGUCUUUCACUGUCUCCCUGCAUGUGGGCUAACAAAUAAUGUUUAUCAUCAUCGUCCUCAUCACCAUCACCACUCUAGACUUUCAAAGCUCUUCCAUUAGCACCACCCCCUCCAGGACCCUACAGUGACAUCUACAAGCUGUCAAUCAUAUCACUUACUCUUAAGGUUUGCGAUGGUCCCUGUAAAAGAUUUCAAAGAUCCCUCGUAGUCCUAACAUCCUGGGUUUACCAGUUCCAUGGAACAGGCUCCUGUGCUCUUCUUAUCCUGUCUAAUCCACAGCCAUAACUAUUUAUUUUCACACAUUAACUGUUUGUUUUCAGUUUCAUCUGCCAAGAGUUUUGCCAGAAAGUGCGGCAUACUGCCAAUCUUUAGGAGAGAAACCUCUUCAAAGACCCAGAUGCUGGACAACAUGCAUUUCUUGGAAUCACUUGGAUGUGUGGAAGGAAGAGCUGGAGGCCAGAGCGAUUUAAUGACCUGCCCAAGGUCAUAAACAGGUUACAUACAGCUGGGCAGAUGUCCAACCAUACUAAAAAUAAUAAUGAAGAAAAAAAUCCAGAACCAAUAACCACCGAGGAGCCUCAGAACUAAAGGACUCAGUGACAGUGCUCUGUCCCCAUUAAGGAGGGAGAAACUGACACGUUACCGCAUGCCCGGGCUGGAGCCAAUCCCCAUGUUUCCGGAAAGGUGAUCCCAGGAUCACUUUUAGAAAAGACUGUUCUAGAUCAGGUACCUGCUUAUUUCUAAUCUUGCCUCCAGGCUGAUGAGAUGAUCUAUGAUCCACUUUCUACACCACCCUCCAACUCUGGGGAGUCACACUUACAAGAGGAUGGAUCCUUUGGCACAGAACUAUAGCUGAGCUAGAGAUGCCCAAGUUAGGAAUGGUGGCGUUUCAUCCACGUGGAGCACGCCAAGGAACGGGAUGUGCUCUCACGUCCUCUAGAGCACCUGGACAGGACCCCCACCUGAUGGAGAGGUUGUCUCUCACAGCCCAGACCCCCUGGUUGAGUUCCUGCCUUAUCAAGCCACCAGCUGCCGUUCCAGAGGAAUCUGGUGAUUAGUCCCCAGGCUUGCCCAGCUGCAGGAUGUCAGAAGAAUAGAAGGAAGCUGGGGUCUUGGCCGCCACGUUUAUAAUUAGCAACACACUGGUUUUCAGGCGCUCACGGGAGGGAACUUGAUUCCUCGUGCGCACUAUUACACUGUGAUCCAGCCCUUGGCAUAGAGUCGGGCACCUAUUCCUACAGAACAGCAACGCAGGGGCCCCACGUGGCUUCCUUGUCCUGGUUCUCGGGUCUACCAGGACAGGCAGGCGGCGGGGGUGGGGCGGGGUGCGGCCCGUAGUCAGGGCCUGAACGGGCAUGUGGCUUAUUUAUUACACCCACAUCUUAUUCCCUGGUUAUGUACGCACUUGCUACUCCGUGCUGCCCGUCAGCUUCACCUCCCUGACACAUUUCUGAAACUGGGCAAAACUAGUAGCUAUAGCACAUCUGGAUUCCUUUCCCUCUCUAGAUAGAAACCCCUAGAAAGUGUGCCAACUUUUCACCCCGCAGUGUCAGCCAGUGGGCGUCUGUGUCAGGACUCCUCAUGCACGCAAGACGACAGGAUUUGCAGACAAGAUUACCAGAGUCAGCAAGAAAAGAUGCCCACAGGGCUGUCCCUCCCCUGCCGGCCGUAUCCCUGGCUCGGCUGGCUGGCCUGCUCUGUGUCUCGGGCGGUCCCUGGGAUGGAGUUUUCACAGUCGUCGGGCGUGGGUUCCAGUCGGGCAGUGAGGUGGCUGUGAGAACCCCUUUCUAGUGGCGCAUGGACCUGGCAUCUAAGGGGAGGAUGUGAGGAACACACACUAACGCGGACACAGCUUCUCCCUUUUCUGGAGACUCAAGCUGGGACUCUCAAAGCUGGGACUGAGAGUCCCAAAGCUCUGAGAAUCUGGAUCCUGAAGGCAGAGACAGAAAGGGGCGGGGCCAGCAGGAACUCAACCAUCCAAGAACCACCCUCCUCUGCAAGGGGCCCAGCUUACUCCAGACAGAAGACCUGCUGUCAAGGUCACUCCUGGCCUGCUCUCACCCCGCCUCUCCUUCUAGAGUUUUCUGCUUGGAUCCCUCCCUGGCCUCAUUCGUGACAUGGAAAUGUCACUGAUGACUUUCUCCUUGUAAUUUGUUCCCCGGCAUCUUCUGCAAGGUCUUCCCAGGGGGCGCUAAUGGUAAAGAACCAGCUUGGCAAUGCAAGAGAUAAAAGAAAAGUGGGUUCGAUCCCUGGAUUGGGAAGAUCCCCUGAGGAGGGCAUUGCAACCCACUCCAGUAUUCUUGCCUGGAGAAUCCCCAGAGAGAGAAGAGCCUGGCAGGCUACAGUCCAUGGGGUCACAAAGAGUCAGACACUUAGCACGCACGUAUGUCUUCUGCAAAGUAUUCAAUUAAAACCGAAUUGGAGAUCAGAAAGGCCAGAGCAGACAAGCAGCUACAUGCCAGAUGCUCCUGCACCUCCAACCCCUGCCACCCCAGAAACGCCAGCUGUGGACACCAGCCCCACCAGGAAAAGAGGCCAGGGCAACCUGGAGCCACUGCCCUCAGAACAUCAAGCUGGCGCUGAAUCUGGUGGGAGUACAACCCUAGAGGAGGGGAAACUGUAAUCUCCUUUCAGGAAAAGACGUCAUUUUCUCCUGCAGCUGACGGGGGGAGGCAAGGCGGUGUGGAAUUCUUCAACGCAGCAUGGCCAGAUCUGAGCAGGGUUUUGAACAAACAUCUUACGGGUUGUUUAAAUUGGAGACAGUCACCGAUAAAGGCGUAUUUGGUCCAGCUGUUUGUGCAGGACUCAACCCUAAUUCUAGCUCAAACGCUGCUCAUUGUUUAAAGGCUUUAUAUUCUGAAGUUGUUCCCAGGCGUAUCUGCAGGGGAAGAAGCAGAGAGCUGAUAGCACGGGUGAGCUGUGACCGCCUGGCUGGACUCAGGAAAGAGCAGAAGAUAAACCCGGCAGUUGGCGAGGCGGGGAUGCUUUCAGGGACAGAGUCUAUGCAGGGAUGAGACCUCGGGGGACAUGGCUGCUCCGGGGUGCCCCAAGGUCCCGCUGAGUGGAGGGGCUGGGGCAGCUGGGACCACCGAGGCCUUUUCCGGAGCCGGGCCCUGGCAACGAAGCCAGAUGGAGGAAGAGGAAGAGGAAUAGGAGUGGCUUCCUGUCUGCCUGUGACUCUCCCAGAGCUGGGCCCGCUGGCCCCGGGCAGGAAAAAGAUGGCCUUCUCUGAUAGGAAGGCUGUUGAAUUGUUCGGAACAAUAGAUUAAGGUCUCGGUAGAGGCAUUAUUUGAACUCCACUGUUUGGUCAGCAUUCUGAAAAAGGUUAUGAUGCGAUUUCCAUCUGAUUAGUGUGGAAGGGAGCUAGGCGAUGGAUGAAGCAAUUGCUUCUGUGAGAUAUCAACACCAAAAUCAUGACAGACUUGGCUGUAGUCUUGGCAGCUGUUCCCUGGGAUUUCUGAAGCUGCUGAGGGCAAAGGGCAAAAUAAUAUAUAUUCAGAAGAGAAGGUAUUUUGUGGUCAGACGCCAUCCCUGCACAUCCUUGUAAAGCCUCCAGUGCUCAAAAAGCCCAAGGGGGUAUGAGAGAGAGCUACAUCACCUGCCGAGUUACUCGCUAGUCACCUGCCAGAUUCUCCUGCCUGCUGGAGAGUGAAAGCGGGCUUGAGAGCAUGGAGCCCGGAAGGAGCCCAGGAUGCAGCCCCUCACUUCCUUUUCCUCAUGGGGAGAGACAGAGGUGUGGGGUCCUUCUGGGGAGUCACUCGCCUUCUCUGGGCCCUGCCAUGUCCUAGACCCUGUGCUUCUGACCCCAAGACAGUGCUCCUGGCAAAGCAGGCCAGACAACAGGGGCUCCUGGAAGCCAGCUGGUCCCCGGGCUGGAGCCUGGUGGAUGAGGAUGAGCUUGUGGAGAGGAAGACAAACCGGGUUGGGAUGCAGUUGCAAAGAGCACAUGGGAGAUGAAACCCAGAGCAUCGUAGAGAGGGAAGAAGUAAGCCUGGAGGGAUGAGCAGGGGCGGGGCUGGAGAGGGACUGGCAGCACAAUGGCUAUUUUGUGUUUUUACUGUAUUGAAUUAUAGUUGAUUCGCAACACUGAGCUGAUUUCUGCUGUACAGCAAUGUCAUUCAGAUGUACAUGUCUCUUCUUUUUCAUGUUCUUUUCCAUUACGGUUGAUCACAGGAUACUGGAU